UCACUUACCUGGCAAGAGAAAGAAACUGUGAUCAACGAAGGCACGUUCCCCAGGGUGAGGCUCAGCAUGCACUCCGUCGUGUGCUGACCCUGCGAAUUUCCCACAAUGUGGAAAUCUUAGCUUGAUUAAUUUAUGGUAUGGGAGGGACUGCGUCGCGCUCUCCCUCU
ensembl:snRNA U1 U1 spliceosomal RNA